UUUUAACCCACAGUAGUCUAGCUUUUACAGCAAAAAGCACAAAGCAUUUAGAAAUACGAGUUUAAAGGGUUUAAUUUUGCCUGUUAUUAAACUGGAUAAUUCUUUCACAAUAUAUGCGUAUAUGCUGUUUACACUGGAGUGUCUUCAUCCAGUACUAAAAGUAUAAGUGAGUGUAUAUAUAUAUGUGUGUAUGCAUAGCUGUAUGUAGGUAUUUUCUACCUAUUCUGUGUAAGUGGCAGAUCAUGAUAUUCUUUCCUUUAGCACAUCAGGUUUUCAGUCCUGAGUUUACUACUCAGCCCUUUUAUUUAAGACAAUUUCAUACUGAUUUCACUGGGGUUUUUUUCAGAGUUUUGCUCAGUUACAGUCUGAAUAGGAAAUUAAUGGUGUCUUCACAUUUUGGUGUAGAGUUAAUUCUGAGUGACUGUGACUUGUUUCUUGUGGGCUUCAGAGACCUGGAUACCCACACAUUGUCUCACAGUUCUUGAUAUCCAGCAGUCUUUUUGUCCUGUUUGUUGGGAAACCCUUCCAUAUCAUCUUUUUUCAGAUGUCAGCAUACAGUCAGGUUGUACCUCACUGUGAAUUCCUGGAUCAUUAAGAAGAAUUAAAAAAAAUAAUUCAGAGACCUGAUAGAGACUGUGCCCUGCUUCUGCUUUGUCUGUUUAAUUAUUUUUUUCAGUCUCGAAUCUGCUUUAAUGGCAUAGGUGUCUUUCUUUAAAAGGUCAGAAGAAUGGCCAUUUGGAAAGGUAAAAAACUGUAUUUAGGCUGUAUCUGUUUAAUUUGUUUUCUGUGACCAAAGCCCUCAAAUUUGUCUUAGCAUUUCCCACACUUAGCUUCAGCAAAGAGCCCCAUGGCCUGUAAUUAAUGAGAUAUGCUAUAAAUGCCACCACUUUGCUCGUGAAACAGUUGUUUUUACUUGAUUCUUGACAUUCAGAUGUGCUAGCAUGCUGAUGUGUGUUUUACAACAUUUCACUAGCUUAGCAUCUUGACUGUGCAUGCUAAAUGGCAAAUACCUUUUUGCAGCUUGGACAAAUACGGCUUAGAAAAAGAUUCUCAAUGGUCUAUCACAUUUUCUUUGUUAUUAGGUUACUGGGGCUUUUUUAGUCACUUUGAUUGGAAGUUUAAAUAAGUCAUUCUUCUGGUGUUGCAGUUGCUGGAACUCCAUGACGGCGAUCAGACCAAUUCCUCUCUCCAGUUUCAGACAUGGGCACAGUCGUGCCUUCCUCAUGCAGGAUUUCUGUCUCUGGCAGUGUGCAGGCAAGCUGAAGGGGAUGUGGUGCUACUCGUGCAAUGCUCAGCAAAUGCUGUACCCCACACUGGUUUCAGAACAAUCCCAAACCCCUGAAAUUUGAAGGUAGCAGUCACGGAAGUAGAAGCAGUACUUUAAAUAAUGGUAACAAAGUGACAAAAAUGAAUUUUCCCAGAGGAGUACUAAAAAAAUCUACAGAUCUGUCAAAUUACCAUUGCCUUUCAUACUGAAAGAAGAAAUCAGGCUUAAGACUCCCGAUUUAUGUUGCUUCUGAAUAACGUUUCUUGUCUGACUUUGGAUCUAAGAAGAUAACCCUGAAGGAUAUGAAGAGGUACGCUGAAUGAGCACAUUUCUCAAGCACACAUUCACACUGCUUUUCAAGCAGUUUCAGGUUCUUUUCCCUUGUUUCUGGUGGAGGAAGAGGGCAGUGGCAGGGGUUGUCUGUGCUGGGUUUGUAAGUCUUGCACAAUGAGAGAAAAAGUACUGUCUAAUCUCUCAGCCCUAAUACAAAGAAAAGGUUUAUGCAGAAGAAUGGAUUUUCUACCAGAAAGGCUUUAAUGAUCGUGCAUUUAUAUUCUCAAAUUCCCAAUCUCAAAAGGUAAAGUAAUUAUGAUGUCAUUUGUAAUUGCAAUUUUUCUUCUUUACUUGUGUAGAUCUAACACCAAUGAGAUGAGGAUUAGGUGUACUACAGUCUACUGCCUGACCCUCUUAAAAUGAUUAAUAAUAUAUAACACAGGGAACACAUGCAGCUUUCCUCUGUGUUUACUGGUUAUCGCUCUGUCCCUGCUGCGUUGUAGAACAUUUACCAGAAUAAAGGAAGUGCCUUACAAACUGGUUAUAUGUCUGACCAGGUCUAGGUGUUUGUUGAUUGGUUUCUUUUGGGGAGAGUAAUAGGCCAGCAAAGCACCUGAAAGGCAGUAUAAAUAACCAUGCUGAAAGGAAAAAGGUCACUGAUUUGUUUUUUACGUGUACAAAUAGGAUUUUAAUACAGGAUGUUGCAGGCCACAUGCUCCACAACUUGAUAUCUCCAUACAAUUUCAAAAGCUGAACAAGAACACUUACCUUUUGCCUAACGCAAAGUUUGUGCAUGUGCAACUUAAGUGGUUUUGGUGGUUACUCUUGACACGCGUGAGUGCUAAUUAGAGGAUAGCUAAUACAAUAGUUCUUGCCCAAGGGUUUCUAUGAGCUAGUAGUAUCAACUUGUGUGCAAAUAGAAAUAAGUGGAAGCAGACUGUCUGGCUUUCUGCAUUGCACUUGGAAGGGGUUUUGUCCAUAGCACCAGCACGUCUGGCUCAAGCUCGCUGUUUGUGGGGACUUGCGGUACAAUUAGCACUGAGACCAUAAGAAAGCACCAUUGAAUUGUGCUGCACAGCACUGCCCCCAGCUCAUACCUUUAGUUAUCUGAUUGAUAACUUGGCUGCAAAACCAAAUUCAGUUACCUAGGAUGAGUUUGCUGGCAGUACUCGUGGCUAGAUCAGCUUAUGCCAGAUGUGGAGGGUGCAUAGUUUAUUGUUCUGUUAGGACUGUGCUGGCUCAUCAUGGGACCAGAGGUAGCUCAAUCCUACAAGGUUGUUAAUGAGCUCAGACUGAGAGGGGAUGGAAAAUGAAAAUUUUUUAUUUGUGUAGUUUCAGAUGUUAAGUGCAGAGGAAUUCUGGAGUCUGUCCAGAAGACUAAACGGCUUACCAGAGGCUUAAUAGGCUACCUACAGUUAAACUGGGGUAUUGCCAUGUACUGGUUGGAAACAUAAAAAUCUUGUCUGUGUUUGCUAAAGUCAUCCGUUAUUGUCAUCUUUCCCUAAUAGUGUCUUGAAUAAAAGUAAUCGCUAUUAAAGGAGGAAAACCAACCGAUUACAGUAUUACAUCUCCUGUUUUCUGUUAGACACAUUUGAGGAGGGAAAGAUGUUAACAGUUAGGUAGAUCAGAGGAUAAUUUAUUUUAAUAUGGACCUUUGGCAAUUAAAGGAGUGACAUACCUCCUUUCAUAGAAGGUGAAGACAUGCCCCAGACUUACUUCCCUCUCCCCUGUCAGCUGAAGCUGAGGUUCCCAUUACAUGUCUGUUAAAUGUCAUAUGGAAGAGGUGCUGUGUCCUGCUGUAUGGGAACACAGCUGUUUGUUCCCUAUGUAGAAAAUUGGGUGGGGAUCAGAGAGGAUGAGACCUGCUGGGUGUGGAGGGAGAGUUCUCAGUGUGAGAGCCAUCUACUAUCUAAGGGCUUUGUAGCUGCUAACAUCUGAGAUUUAUAUUAGGAAGGAGUAAAUGGUAUUGUGAUGGGAACUUUUUGACAGGUCGGAUAGCCCCCUUCACCACCUGAAUGGUUAGCUCAACUUAUCCAUCAAACCAUGGGGGAACCUCUCUCCAGAGCAAGGUAUGAAUUUCCAGUCAACUUAGCUGAUUCCUUAUUAACAAAGCAGAUCUGAAAAACUUUUUCUAAGGAGAGGGGCUGAAACUUGAUCUAUAUUAUCAAAUCUUAUUGAAAAAAUAAGGUAAAGUCUGUUUUAUAAAACAUUGAUAAAAUGCCUACAGAAGACUUUUUUACCCUCUAUUCAAAGGCAUCAUGAACAUGAUUUUUGGAGACAUAAAUUAACUGAAAGAGACCUUCAGUGAAAGCUGUGGUAGAGUCUAUACUAAUACUUCUAAAACUGCUGGUCAUCUCUUCUAAGAUCAAUACCAUCUAACCCAGAAGUUGCAGAUUUAUUUCAUAAUCAGACACUGAUUAUGCAGGAAGGAGGAUGGUUACCAGUGCAUAGUGCCAGGGGUUAGUCCUGGGCACUGUAGAUUGACUGUGGUACUAUUAAAUUCUUAGGAAGGUCCUUGACAGCUAUGGGUGGCAAAUAGAGCUCUCCCAAACUGUUCCUGAGUGAGGGCCAGAGGCUAGCUUGGGCCACGGGCUACGCUCAGUAGGCAGUUUAGAUGGGGCUACCUUGCUUUGGAGGGUAGGAGAGAUCAAGAGUGUAAAUGCAGACUGCUCUGCAUUAAUUGACCUUAUUGCCAGAGGGUGCUCCUGUGCACGUUGAUAUAAUAUUAUUUGAAAACAGCUGACUUCCUGCCAGUUUUCCUUGUGCAACACCAUGGGCUUCACUGGAUUUUGCAGACCUUCUGGGAAGAGACAAGCGUCUCUUCUGACAAGAUGUUUGAGCCAAAUGAAUCUUCACUUUUAUCUUGGAUAAUAGUAAUAAUAACAACUAUUAUUAUUAAGCAAUAUGAAUAAACCAUAAUGUAAAUUUU